rnacentral:snoRNA from 1 species
AGAUCGAUGAUGACUCCCUCAAUCUGCAUUUCUUGGAAAAGCUGAACAAAAUGAGUGAGAACUCCCUACUAUCAUUCUCAUCAAAUCUGAAGUCC